rnacentral:rRNA from 1 species
UUUUGGACAAUGGGCGAAAGCCUGAUCCAGCAAUGCCGCGUGUGGGAAGAAGGCCUUCGGGUUGUAAACCACUUUUGUACGGCCCGAAAAGGUCUGCCCUAAUACGGUGGGCCCAUGACGGUACCGUAAGAAUAAGCACCGGCUAACUACGUGCCAGCAGCCGCGGUAAUACGUAGGGUGCGAGCGUUAAUCGGAAUUACUGGGCGUAAAGCGUGCGCAGGCGGUUAUGUAAGACAGUUGUGAAAUCCCCGGGCUCAACCUGGGAAUCGCAUCUGUGACUGUAUAGCUAGAGUACGGUAGAGGGGGAUGGAAUUCCGCGUGUAGCAGUGAAAUGCGUAGAUAUGCGGAGGAACACCGAUGGCGAAGGCAAUCCCCUGGACCUGUACUGACGCUCAUGCACGAAA